rnacentral:rRNA from 1 species
GCCAGCAUGGGCACGGCGCAGAACCUGGUCACCUGCCUCUACCAUAUGCAGCUCGCCGUCCGGCCCUGCGUCGUCUCCGUCACCUGGAGCAAGAGCCUCAUGGGGCAGGGCCUCAGCUUCGCCGUCGACGCCCUGUCCGGCCAGAGCCUCCGCAAGGCGGACAUCAAGCCCUGGCUCUUCUCCAAGAAGAAGGGCUCCAAGAGCCUCGACGCCGACGGCGCCAAGGUCGACAUCUUCUGGGACCUCUCCGCCGCUAGGUUCGGCGCCGAGCCGGAGCCGCUGGAGGGCUUCUACGUCACGCUGCUCUUCGACCUCGAGCUGGCGCUCCUGCUCGGCGACAUGAAGAAGGACGCCUACCGCAAGACCGGCGCCAACCGCCCGGCGCUCAACACCGCGUUCGUCGCCAGGAAGGAGCACAUUUACGGCAAGAAAAUUUACUCCGCCAAGGCGCAGUUCUGCGACAAUGGC